CGCAACAAGCUGACUGGCAGGAAAUGGGUUCAUGUUGACCCUAUGGCUGGUCAUGUGCUCCACCCUGUCUACGCCAGUGGCUCGACUACUGCAGCUGACCUGGAUGCACAGUUGUAGGGACCAUGCAGUUGCUUAUGCUCUUCCAGCGGAUUCGCCGCUCCUGUGCUUGUCAUCAGCACCACCAAGUGCCUCUCAUUACACAAUGCAACUUGUUGCAGCAAAGAUGCUUGCGAGCAAGAAAUGCUGCUAUAAGUAGCUUCAGUGAGGAGCAGAAAUUUCAGCUUGAUUAAUGUUCCUUUUUAACAUCAGUUUCUUUGAGAUGCAAUGUUGGUUAGUUUCAUGUCUGUGGAAGUGUUGAUUACUUGUGGACCGGAAUUUUGUCAUUUGGUGCAUUUUUUGGAACCAUGAGCGUUCAACUAGAGGUCAAAUGACGAGUGAAAAUGUUUGUAAAUUGACAAGGUGCUAGCAAUUUUCUUUAGAAAAUUCUCCACAUUGUUCCUAUAUAUAUAAACCUAAAAUAAAAAAGGCCUCCUCUCAAAACCUGUAGGAAGUCCAUCUUUGAGCUUAUCUGCCCCUUUUGGAAACCAAGGAAUUUAAUAGCAAAGAAAAAUUCCAGCGCUAACAGGGAUAAGAAAACUGUAAACUCUGUAGGGAAAGGAUUGUGUCAUCUCUCUAUGCGCUUCCUUCUUCCUCCUGCUCCCCUCUAUCCGGAGGAUAAGUAGACACACUGCACCCUAGCACGCGUCCAAAAUAGAUUAAAAAUUCUACCGUAACAUCCACGUGGGUUCUGGUAGAGCAAGAUCCCUUCUAGGAUCAUGAUGUACAAGAUAUGCUUACUUCUGGUAGAUUUUCCUCCACCAUUAUAUACAUAUAUACCAACGCCGACAUGGAUAAUAUGAAAUGGACAGGGGAGAGGCUACGAUUGAGCUUGGCCUUGAGUUCCAUCCUCAAAUCUAACAUUCUAACUAGCUUGCUCAAUUUACUUUAGAAAGGUAAUCGUUUCUAAGGAUGGCAAUGGAGGCAGAACCCAGUGGAGGAUGAGAGGGGAUACUCAUGCACACCAUGAACAAAAAGUUGUUCCAUUCAAUCCUCGUACCUACGUAUAAGCCUUGGCUUCUCCGUACUGAAAACCACGUUGGUAAUUGGUACUUAUAUAUUCUAGAGAUAAUUGAUUUGUUAUGACUAAAAUGGAGAGUAACUCAACAUACUACAUAAUCUUAGUUAAAACAAAAAAUCACUAUAAACCCUCAUUAUUUUCCGCUAUAUAAUAUGUUAUAUCAUUGUUAAAGAAAAUAUAACUACCAUAUAUGAAGCUGCUUGUCAUCAAUAUCGUCAAGUAGAUACGGGGUCAUAUGAUUAUAAAUUGAGACUAAUAUUCAUAACCCAUCCAUACCUGCUAGGGGAUAAAAGUUCUUAUUUCUGAUUCAAAGGGAUAAAAAGAGUCCCACCUCCUUGCAUGUGGCUAGCCAGGAUUGUUACCACACUUGUCAUUUUCUUUCUACACUUGUAACUCUAUUUUCUCCUCCUAGAGCCUAACGCGGUCUUCAUCCUUCAAAUGCCCGCCGGUUGCACAUCCUAUCUACCUCUAAUAGUUUUGCUAGCCUUCGCUGUCAUCCACUCUCUCGCCUCCUCCUCACCCUUUGCCUCUUUUGAUGUCCUCGUCACCACUGCCUAUCACCUUGCUCCGACAAUCUCAAUCACCUCUUUUGUUGCCAUUGCCCACCACCCAUCGGGGCUCAUCCCUCAGCCGUCUCCACCCCAGCUCCCCCUUAUAUUGGUGGAGCUUUUGGUCAAUGUUGGGGGAUCUUAGUGAUUAUCUAAAUGGAUUAGCAACAAUUAAGCCUGAAUAAUCACCGUUAUACCUGAGGAAUUAGCAUAUUUAAUUUAGGGGGCAUGGGCCUUUUUAGCCUCCACUAUCCUCUAGCAUUGCUUCUAUAGUCAACGAACACCGAAGAACCUAGCUCUAAUCUCCCUUGUCCACCUCCGGCAGCAUCACAUCGUGCUUGAUAGAUUUUUCCUUCCAUUAGAUCCCUCAAAUGCUAUCCCAAGUUUGCUGACUAUUUAUCAAUCAUAUCUGUAUGUUUUAUACCUAAAAAUGCCUCCUUAGGCCAUGCCUCAAUCACUCCUACCCCUACCAUGCUAAAUUUAAUGAGAGAUUGAUACAUUCUGCCAAGAAAACAUAAUGCUUCUCGUUCCUUAGUCCUAAACUUCUAAUUACAUAGAGCGCAUCCGUUUCUUAGUGUUGAUUAUACAAUACCUCCAUUUCGAUCCAAAUUAUAGCUAUUUGUACCUUGGUAACCGUUGCGAAAGGGAAGAGGAAUACAAGUAUCUUAGGCAACUAAAGUUUCCCACCAAUAGCUUGGCCAACACAUGUAUUUUGAUGUGUGUUGGUCUGUAUAAGUUCGCGGGAUCGAAUAUGCAGGUGUUCCACACUUUGGAAGAAAACGCAAAUGUAAGUUUAUAUAACUACUCAAUAACCGGUCAUAUUGCUUUGCAUCGUGAACCUACAUAUCUGAGGUCUUUGCACCGAAUGAUCCAAUUUAUGUCUCGAAUUGUAUGCGCACAUGAAUCAAAUCGAGGUCGCAUGCACCGUCAUGCUUCUUCUACUGCAAACUGGUCGACCAAUUUAUAUUACCUUUUUCAAAUCCCUCCUAAGCUAGAUCUCUAAUUUAUUCAAUUUCACUACUGUCAUCUACACAUAUUGCUAUAGUUAUGAAUAUAGAUUACAUAUACCUAACAACUAGUUCAACAUAUAGUUAUGAACGGGCGUAUUUAGUGGUAGUUGGUCUAAAAUAUUUUUCCUAUGAAAAGAAAUUGCAUUAAUUCUAGAUAGAUCUCUUCUCCCUUCUGCUUGAGUGCUUGCAUUUCUCCCGCGUGGGAUUUGGCAGCCGGAGGACGAUACAGAAGAAUAGAACCUUCGCGCCGGGGGCGCGGGCGCGUGGUGCGCCAACGCACGCCGCUGGACCGGAUGAACGGUGGAUGCGCGGGGUGCGGCCAUCAGCCCAUCCCUUCCCCCCUCCCGUUCCCCACACCAUAACACUCCUCCCCCAGACCCCCACCCGCACCCAGUCGCCGUCACUCCCAAGCCCUAACCAAAAAUCCAUCCCCCCUCUUCCCGCUGGCGGCGGCCACCCCCGACGAGCCGGCGCGCCCCUCCGUCCUGCCCCCGGAGCCUGUCUCCACCGGCGAGCUCCGCCGCCCCCCGCGCCGAGCGCGCCCCGCCUCUCCAGCCUUGGUGCGCCCUACCCCUACUGCCGGGAGCGCGCGUCGCGGCGCCUCUCGCACCUCCUCGCGCCGUCGGGUAAGGAAACCCUAGCCUUCGCUUGCUCUUCCGCCCCGCUCGAUUCCGCUCCGGUGGGGUGUUUCCGGUGCCGUGAUCCCGCGGACGGGCGCCCCAAUCCGCCUCGGUACCGUGGCGGAUUCGCGCCCCGCGUUGCGGGGGAGCUGUUGCGUCCGAAAUGCGAUGUCCUUGCGGGGUUCGGGUCCGUUUCGGCCGAAGGCCUCUCCCCAUGGCAUCGGGACGGUCUUGGUCACACCGACCGUAGGGUUCGUUGAAGGAACCCUAGGCCGGAGCUGAGGCUUAGGGCCGUGUGUUUGAGCUACCGUGGUCCUGGAUGGUGAUGUCGAUUGGGAAGAUUGCUCUUCUCCCUUGGUCUUGUAGAUGGUGAUCGUCCCCUAGUGUUCAUGGGCAUGGCAUAGAUCGAGAUUCUGGAGCUGGAGGCAUUUCUCCAGGGUGGAGCGUGGCUAUCUGGUGCAGAGGUGUGCGUGCUAGAUCCAGGAUUCCUCAGGGGUGCGUGCGCCAGAUUCGGAAGCCGCAUCCGUCUCGUGUGGCAGAAGUCGUUGCAAAGAAACUGAAAGUGUUUCCACAGUUCCAGCUAACGGCCACGCCCACACCCACGCGGCGACGCCCACGUGUGCAAUCCCCUUUUGAGUUUCUAAGGUUUGCAGUGUUAUAAGUAGCGGUUACCUUGGAAAUCUGUAACACGUUUGGUUCAUUUAAAGGUUAAUAGUGCCAUGACAUAAAUGGGGGAUCUUUUUAAGGAAAUUGCAGGACACGUUUCAGGUGUUGUUUGUAUGCCGUUACUUUAUUAAAUACACCCUUUUUUUAGGAAUGUUGUUAUGACACUCGAAGUACUGAUUCGACUUAUAUUUUAAAUAUCUCAGAUGCAGCAUGAUUAGUAAAUAUGCUUUUGAUACAUGCCCAUAACAUGUUAUGUGGGUAAUAUAAUCUCCAAGUGUUGUCAUUAUAAAAGAAAAAUACAUGUGGCGCUGUUCUCUUUGACAUGAUUAUUAGUUCAUGAAUGUCGCAAAACACUAUGUUACAUAAUUCCAUCAUUAAACAUUUUUUUGUACCACCAUGUCUUAUUGAGGCACACCGCUUCAACAAUGUCUUUUGAUAUUUAUCGAAACAAUGAUCCGAGUUCUGCAUUCCAUUAGUUACCAGUCAUAUGGAUACUGAUUCAUGUUUCAUAAUCCACUUAGGGUCCGUUUGGACGAAGUAAGUUCCUAAGGAUUUGGAUCCUGAUUCCCCUAUCUAGAUUGAUCCGUGGCAGUUGAUAUGCUAUUGAGAUGCAAGUUUGGACUAGUUAUUUUUUUGUUUAAUGUUAAAAAGAAUGUCUUUUUACAGUGUUAUUUUGGUGUUAUUGGGAUAAUGAUUGCUUGCUAUAACAAUAGCUGAUCCAUAAUUGUUGAUGCUUCUUGCAAGACUUUCUCUUAGAGGAAUAAAACCAUUAUGAUAACCACUGUUAGUUUCACAAUUUCUUCUUAAUAUAUUGAUGCACAGCUCUCCUGUGUGUUUCAGAAAAAAACUAACAGUUUUAACAAUCUUGCUCCAUCGUUUUUGCCUGUACAGUUUUGUCUUUGUUUUACAAUAUCUUUUGACAUGCUCAUACUUUCAUAACAUUACCUGCUGUUAGGAUAAGCAUGUAAUCUUCAAAUGAUUACAUUUGCACGACUAAGCCUUCCUAAGUCUAAGCCUAUAAUGUCAAAACUAGGUUCCCCACUCAGCUACAAUAAACUGAUUCUUCGUAGUUCUUGUAUUUACUGUUUUUCAUUUGCACGACUCUUUUUGAUGUCAGAAAAUGCAGCAAGCAAGGCAUUCAAAGCACAGGGCAUAUUGAGAAACUGCAAAGAUGAUUGCAUGUCUAUCUUCCAUUUCACCAAGAAAGGAACAACAAAUUAAUGAAUCAUAAGCUCCUUAAUAUAUAAAUUAUUGAUAAUAUGUCUGUAAAAGACUGGACUAUUUUGAAAAAAAAGAGAUUAGUAUACUGUUUCUUUCAAUACUGGAAUUUUUUAAGAUGGCUGGGUAGUACAAAGUUGUAACAUAUUUGGAAUGACAAUGACAGAAAAAUAAUAAACAUAGUUCAUAGUAAUUUUGGCAGACAUCAAUGAUAAAGCUUCAUUAUUAAUGAACAAUAAUACAACAUAGAGGGUAGACGCAAUAUCAGAAAGGCAGUAGCCUAUAGGAAUGCAUUUUGAGCUGAAAGUUCUCACUUAGUACAAAAUCUGCAAAAGCUUUUUUCAUACAGAACAACAGCUUUUGCUGGGAUAGAUCCGCAAGUUUUCUUCUGUAACAACAAAUAUUUUCAUAUUCUUGAUAUUAUCUAGUAAAAUGAAAUCAAAUUUGUGCAAGAAGUAAAUAUUAAAUACACAAAUUAAAGAACUAAUGUUUCAUAACACCAUAACCUUCCCCUGAGCUGUAUGCGUAGUUUUGCACGUUUUGAACAGUUAUAUUGGGACAAGUUUAAGGUGAUUCAAAAUCAGUACCAGUUGUUUAGAAUUAAGAGCGAAAACCAAGAACAUGUUAACCAAUUUCAUUGACUAAUCACAUCUGAAAAAAAGCCACCGAAAUGCAGCCGUAAGGAAAUGUUUCGAGAAAUCAAAGCUCUAGCUCUAACGAUUACUACGGUAACUCGGUGUUGACUGCUGGAUCACGCAUUCAUCCACUAAAAACAUCGUUCCGUUCAGAACUAGCCUAUAAGGCAGUGAAGAUCGCUUGGGUCGGAAGAGAAGGCAACGCAAGGACGUACUGCUAGUUCUUGUUCCGCGGGAUCCCCCCAUCCGUUUAUGUGAGCUGCGGAUGUGCUGAUCUCGUACUGUAUGUGCUGCGUGCUGGGGAUGCACGGUCUUGCGCUGCGCCGUCCGUGCCUGAUGCGGGCACUGGCCACCACCUGCUCGGUGAAAUGCCUGCUAGGCGCGAACACCGCUGGUGCCCUGGCGGCCGAGUGCGUGCUGCCCACCUUGCGUUGCCUUCUCUUCCGACCCAAGCGAUCUUCACUGCCUUAUAGGCUAGUUCUGAACGGAACGAUGUUUUUAGUGGAUGAAUGCGUGAUCCAGCAGUCAACACCGAGCUACCGUAGUAAUCGUUAGAGCUAGAGCUUUGAUUUCUCGAAACAUUUCCUUAUGGCUGCAUUUCGGUGGCUUUUUUCAGAUGUGAUUAGUCAAUGAAAUUGGUUAACAUGUUCUUGGUUUUCGCUCUUAAUUCUAAACAGCUGGUACUGAUUUUGAAUCACCUUAAACUUGUCCCAAUAUAACUGUUCAAAACGUGCAAAACUACGCAUACAGCUCGGGGGAAGGUUAUGGUGUUAUGAAACAUUAGUUCUUUAAUUUGUGUAUUUAAUAUUUACUUCUUGCACAAAUUUGAUUUCAUAAAUUUGAUUUCAUUUUACUAGAUAAUAUCAAGAAUAUGAAAAUAUUUGUUGUUACAGAAGAAAACUUGCGGAUCUAUCCCAGCAAAAGCUGUUGUUCUGUAUGAAAAAAGCUUUUGCAGAUUUAGUACUAAGUGAGAACUUUCAGCUCAAAAUGCAUUCUUAUAGGCUGCUGCCUUUCUAUAUUACGUCUACCCUCUAUGUUGUAUUAUUGUUCAUUAAUAAUGAAGCUUUAUCAUUGAUGUCUGCCAAAAUUACUAUGAACUAUGUUUAUUAUUUUUCUGUCAUUGUCAUUCCAAAUAUGUUACAACUUUGUACUACCCAGCCAUCUUAACAAAUUCCAGUAUUGAAAGAAACAGUAUACUAAUCUCUUUUUUUUCAAAAUAGUCCAGUCUUUGACAGACAUAUUAUCAAUAAUUUAUAUAUUCAGGAGCUUAUGAUUCAUUAAUUUGUUGUUCCUUUCUUGGUGAAAUGGAAGAUAGACAUGCAAUCAUCUUUGCAGUUUCUCAAUAUGCCCUGUGUUUUGAAUGCCUUGCUUGCUGCAUUUUCUGACAUCAAAAAGAGUCGUGCAAAUGAAAAACAGUAAAUACAAGAACUACCAAGAAUCAGUUUAUUGUAGUUGAGUGGGGAACCUAGUUUUGACAUUACAGGCUUAGACUUAGGCUUGAUAACAGACUAAAACCAAAGCACCAAAAUGACUGCAGUUGACGAAGUUGGAAAUCUGACGAUGCCUGGCUGUACUUAGAUUUCUUAUCCGAUACUGUCAUGUUUGUGUAUAGACUAGUUUAACAAAAUCAUUCAUGACUGCAGGUGGCUCGUGGCAAGCAAAAUGGCUUUCUCAUCGGUUUUCCGGAGAGUGAAUGUCAAAGAACUGAUCUCAAAUGCUUCAGUGUAUGCUAGCGCAACAGGUGAUAACGUCUGUGCAGUUGGUGUGACUCGUACUUUUCUUCCAUUCUGAACAAGUAUUUUACCUGCCUGAGAUAUUCUCAAUUCCAGAAUCUUCUGGAGGAAUGAGCUUGGUGUUUAGACGCUGGGCCACCAAGAAGACUGCUGGAUCGACAAAAAAUGGCCGUGACUCCAAUCCCAAAUACCUGGGUGUCAAGAAGUUCGGUGGAGAGGUACACCCUUUCUAUAAUUCUUACUCCAUGACAUUGAUGGGAUUCGGAAUAACUUUAUUAGUUGCAUCAAAAUUGCUACCAUUUGGAGCCUUUAGGUGCCAUAUUGAUACUUGUUUUCUGAAUAACUAUCAUGCAUAGGAAUUGAUCUGAUGCUAUUAGUCUGUUAAUUGACUAUGUACAUUUGUGUUAACUUUCCAGAAAGUGGAACCAGGAAACAUCAUUGUUCGCCAAAGAGGAACGCGCUUCCACCCUGGGGACUAUGUUGGCAUGGGCAAGGAUCACACUCUCUUCUGCCUGAAGGAAGGCCAUGUUCGGUUCGAGCGCAACAAGCUGACUGGCAGGAAAUGGGUUCAUGUUGACCCUAUGGCUGGUCAUGUGCUCCACCCUGUCUACGCCAGUGGCUCGACUACUGCAGCUGACCUGGAUGCACAGUUGUAGGGACCAUGCAGUUGCUUAUGCUCUUCCAGCGGAUUCGCCGCUCCUGUGCUUGUCAUCAGCACCACCAAGUGCCUCUCAUUAC
rnacentral:lncRNA from 1 species